AUUGAACGCUGGCGGCAGGCUUAACACAUGCAAGUCGACCGGGCGGCGGCCGGGUGAGUAAUGUCUGGGAAACUGCCUGAUGGAGGGGGUUACUUCCUGGAAACGGUACCUAAUACCGCAUACCUUCAGAUGUCCCCAGAUGGGAUUGGCGAGUAGGUGGGGGAACGGCUCACCUAGGCGACGAUCCCUAGCUGGUCUGAGAGGAUGACCAGCCACACUGGAACUGAGACACGGUCCAGACUCCUACGGGAGGCAGCAGUGGGGAAUAUUGCACAAUGGGCGCAAGCCUGAUGCAGCCAUGCCGCGUGUAUGAAGAAGGCCUUCGGGUUGUAAAGCACUUUCAGCGAGGAGGCGUUACUCGCAGAAGAAGCACCGGCUAACUCCGUGCCAGCAGCCGCGGUAAUAC
rnacentral:rRNA from 1 species